rnacentral:rRNA from 1 species
GACGUAGGGGGCCAGCGUUGCUCGGAAUUACUGGGGGUAAAGGGUUCGUAGGCGGUGUGGCAAGUCGGGAGUGAAAUCUCUGGGCUCAACCCAGAGUCUGCUUCCGAAACUGCUGUGCUUGAGUGUGGGAGAGGCGCGUGGAAUUGCAGGUGUAGCGGUGAAAUGCGUAGAUAUCUGCAGGAACACCCGUGGCGAAAGCGGCGCGCUGGACCACUACUGACGCUGAGGACCGAAAGCUAGGGGAGCAAACAGG